rnacentral:lncRNA from 1 species
CACAGAAGACCUGGCAAACCACGCCCCUUUCCACUGACACUGAACUCAAUUGAAGCACACUGUUUAAUUCCGUCGUUGUGGUGAAUUUAUCAGCGUGUUGGCCUACAAACACACAGCCAAAAAACAACAACAAAUGAGGUUAGUUAUGCAGCUUUAGUGUCAAAAAAGCGUUCAUGUCUUAAAUCUGGAAAACAACAUUGAAAACUGCUGAUAAAGAGCAACAGACGCCUGACCAAAACAAACUUUCCAAGUAACUCCAAUUAGCAACACCUGUGUCAUUCAGGCACACUGGGCUAACCUCCAUAAACAUGUUGAUUCCUCGAAGAGGUAAAAAGGACAUAAGGUGAGGGUUCCAUGGAAAAGAUGACUGGAAGGAUACAAAGGCUUGGAGAAGGCCGCCCCCUGCCGCCACUGAGGACAACUACACUAAUACAGACAAGAGCGCCUCAACAGUUACACACUCAAGAGUUGGGGUUUUGCCGUAUGCAACUAGCUACCAUCUCCAACGCUUGUGCAAAACAGAAAAGAAGACUGGUAAGUCAGGAGCCGGACACAAGGGUGAACGGUGUGCCGAGAGCUGGAGAGACCCGGGACGAUGGAAAGAGGACGGAGGGUCGGAUCACCUCGCCCACAGAGUCCUCUCACCUCGACACACUGAGCAGGGGGACUGAAGUAUGCCAAUAUGGCCAGCUUUCAAGCAAUCACCCCUUGAAGCUCUCCCUGUGGUGA